UACGUAGGGAGCAAGCGUUGUCCGGAAUCAUUGGGCGUAAAGAGCUCGUAGGCGGCUUGGUAAGUCGGAUGUGAAACCUCCAGGCUCAACCUGGAGUCGCCAUCCGAUACUGCCAUAGCUAGAGUCCGGUAGGGGCCCACGGAACUCCUGGUGUAGCGGUGAAAUGCGCAGAUAUCAGGAAGAACACCGGUGGCGAAGGCGGUGGGCUGGGCCGGCACUGACGCUGAGGAGCGAAAGCGUGGGGAGCGAACAGG
rnacentral:rRNA from 1 species